AACCCAUGUUGAGGACAUUUCCGCAGGAGCUCCUUGAACCUAUCCCAUGUCUCAAAAAAGAGUCUCCAAUAUCGUUUGCACAAAAGAAGAAAUUUCAUUCCCAAGCUU